AACCAGCACCUCAAGUGGUCAGGAUGAUUAUUGGGCCUAAAGCAUCCGUAGCCGGCUCUGUAAGUUUUCGGUUAAAUCUGUACGCUCAACGUACAGGCUGCCGGGAAUACUGCAGAGCUAGGGAGUGGGAGAAGUAGACGGUACUCGGUAGGAAGUGGUAAAAUCCUUUGAUCUAUUGAUGACCACCUGUGGCGAAGGCGGUCUACCAGAACACGUUCGACGGUGAGGGAUGAAAGCUGGGGGAGCAAACCGG
rnacentral:rRNA from 1 species